rnacentral:misc_RNA from 1 species
UCCGGUUUGUCACCGGCAGUCAACUUAGAGUGCCCAACUCAAUGCUGGCAACUAAAGACAAGGGUUGCGCUCGUUGCGGGACUUAACCCAACAUGUCACCACACGAGCUGACGACAGCCAUGCAGCACCUGUCUCCCGGCAGUAUUGCUACUGAAACUGUAUUUCUACAGCGGUCCGGGGAUGUCAAACCCAGGUAAGGUUUUGCGCGUUGCUUCGAAUUAAACCACAUGAUCCACCGCUUGUGCGGGCCCCCGUCAAUUCCUUUGAGUUUCAGUCUUGCGACCGUACUCCCCAGGCGGAGUGCUUAAUGUGUUGACGUCGGCACAGCAGGGGUCGAUACCCGCUACACCAAGCACUCAUCGUUUACGGCGUGGACUAC